AGUUUGAUCAGUGGCCGUACAGGACGAACGCUGCGGCGUGCUUAACACAUGCAAGUCGAACGAUGAAAUUCUGACGGAGACUUCGGUCAACUGAAGGAUGGAUUAGUGGCGGACGGGUGAGUAACGCGUGAGGAACCUGCCUUUCAGAGGGGGACAACAGUUGGAAACGACUGCUAAUACCGCAUAACGCGUAGAGGUCGCAUGGCCUUUACGCCAAAGAUUUAUCGCUGAAAGAUGGCCUCGCGUCUGAUUAGCUAGUUGGUGAGGUAAACGGGCCCACCAAGGCGACGAUCAGUAGCCGGACUGAGAGGUUGAACGGCCACAUUGGGACUGAGAUACGGCCCAGACUCCUACGGGAGGCAGCAGUGGGGAAUAUUGGGCAAUGGGCGCAAGCCUGACCCAGCAAUGCCGCGUGAAGGAAGAAGGCUUUCGGGUUGUAAACUUCUUUUGUCAGGGACGAGCAGAAGACGGUACCUGACGAAUAAGCCACGGCUAACUACGUG
rnacentral:rRNA from 1 species